UACGUAGGGUGCAAGCGUUAAUCGGAAUUACUGGGCGUAAAGGGUGCGUAGGCGGUUGUUUAAGUCUGUUGUGAAAUCCCCGGGCUCAACCUGGGAAUGGCAAUGGAUACUGGGCAGCUAGAGUGUGUCAGAGGAUGGUGGAAUUCCCGGUGUAGCGGUGAAAUGCGUAGAGAUCGGGAGGAACAUCAGUGGCGAAGGCGGCCAUCUGGGACAACACUGACGCUGAAGCACGAAAGCGUGGGGAGCAAACAGG
rnacentral:rRNA from 1 species